UACGUAGGUGGCGAGCGUUAUCCGGAAUUACUGGGCGUAAAGCGCAAGCAGGCGGCUCGUUAAGUUUGACGUGAAAUCUCCUGGCUUAACUGGGAGGGGUCGUUGGAGACUGGCGAGCUUGAGGCGAUGAGAGGGCCAUGGAAUUCCCGGUGUAGUGGUGGAAUGCGUAGAGAUCGGGAGGAACACCAGAGGCGAAGGCGGUGUCCUGGCAUUGGCCUGACGCUUAUGUGCGAAAGCGUGGGGAGCGAACGGG
rnacentral:rRNA from 1 species